AUUGAACGCUGGCGGCAGGCUUAACACAUGCAAGUCGAGCGAGCGGCGGACGGGUGAGUAAUGUCUGGGAAACUGCCUGAUGGAGGGGGAUAACUACUGGAAACGGUAGCUAAUACCGCAUACUAUCAGAUGUGCCCAGAUGGGAUUAGCUAGUCGGUGGGGUAAUGGCUCACCUAGGCGACGAUCCCUAGCUUGUCUGAGAGGAUGACCAGCGACACUGGAACUGAGACACGGGCCAGAGGCCUACGGGAGGCAGAAGUGGGGAAGAUUGCACAAUGGGCGCAAGACUGAUGCAGCCAUGCCGCGUGUGUGAAGAAGUCUUUCGGGUUGUAAAGUACUUUCAGCGAGGAGGCGUUACGCGCAGAAGAAGCACCGGCUAACUCCGUGCCAGCAGCCGCGGUAAUUC
rnacentral:rRNA from 1 species